GUUUUGCAGGCAGCAGCUCAGACUGUGAGCAUCAUCCACAAGGGGACAGCAUCCACAUCCACACUGGAAAGAUGCAGUUUGUGUCUGUGAGGAACAGAAAGGGGAGCAGCCAUUGCUGAAAGCACCAAAAAAUAAUAAUAAUAAAAAAAUUUAAAAAAAAUAGAGAGAGAGAGAAGAAAGAAGAAGACAUUUCCUGGAUUAUUACUUCUGGACGGAGAGGGAGGAGAGGUGAGACUGGACAUGCAUGUCGAUAUCAGAACCUGCUCAAAUACAGGAUCAGCCUUUUGUUUCUUAAACAGCGAGAGUGAGGUGAUUUGCAAUAUUAAAGCAAACUUUCUGUGACAGAUAAGGUCUCUCUGGAAGAACUGAUAGUAAUGUUAGGGAAUGUGGUAAGAAGAAUUAGAUACCAUUGGAGCAAAAUCAGAACGUAUCUAAUGGGAAGAGAGAAAUGCACUAAUAGCAAGUGUUAUUCUGAGUUUACAGCUCUCAUCUUCAGAUCCUCAGUGUGCUCAAACUGAUUCAUAACACACUCAUUCCUUUUCCUUUUCUAGAAGUACAAGUUUCUUCAUCAAAGUGCACAUGGAAAGGAUAUUCAUAAAAAAUCUCUUAAUGUAGGAUUUAAAUGACUUAAAAGAGUAACACUGUUAGAAUGACUUGUGCCUAGUUGGAAUGACCUACACCAUAGCUCUGUGUGAUUGUCUCUAACACCUUCUCACCUCACUGAUGAACAGCAAGGGGAUAAAGACUUCAGAAAAGUCCCACAGUUAUCUAGCCCCAGAUUUGCCAUAAAAAAAAUAUCUAACCUUCUAUUUUCUUGUCUAGAAAUGCUACGUCCAGAAUUCUUCUUGUAAUUUAGUAACAGCGCCUUUUUUAACUGAACUGUAAUUUCCACCUGAUCAUAAAGUAUUGAAUAUAUAUAUAGCCUACACAAUUUAUUACAGAAAGGAAAUCACAGAAAUAAAAUUCCAGAGAAACAGCAAUAUCCUUCUCUUCCUACGCAAGCUCCAUCUUACUCAAGAAAUGCUAUUAUACCAUCUCCUUGCUGACUUGUCAAUUUACCUGCCCUUUAUUAAAACACAGACAUGACAGCAGAAAUUAUUGCAGUUUGAAUUACUUUUUGUGUGAAUUCUAUUCAAUAGACCUUGAUUUUGCCAACACUUUCAAUUAAAAAAGUAGUUGUAUGUGAAAACAAACCACUGUGAUAUGUAUACUUUUUUGACCUAUGUUUCCUUGAGCUGUGAGAGCAUGAAGUAAUGAAUGAAUUGACUUUUCUAUUUAUGAAUAUUUUUUAUACUGACUUCACUGAUUGCUUUGUGUUACUACUUAAUACAGCAGCAGCACAAUAUGAAGAAAGAAAGGGCGCAGUGCUAAAAUGAAAAUCCAACUGUUUAAAACCUGUUUUUCCCUAAACUGCCAGGUCUGCAUUUGUAGUCUGUUCAAUAAGAAAGAUGUAAUGUGCCAAGCACUAUUUUAAAAAUCCUGCUUCGCAAAUUUUCCAGUAUGACAUUUUUACUGUUCUCUGACCUGUAGAUAUACCUGCACACACAGACACACAUAAUUGAUAAAAACACGAUAUUACAUAGAACUAGAUCACCAAAAUAUGCUGUCUAUUCCCAGAAGUCACCCCUCCAUGUUGGUUACACUAUUGUUGCAAUCACCAGUGGGCCUGAUCCUGAAAUAAGGCAAUACAAGUCCCUUUAUUUGGGUGGAUAAUGUUUCUGAAAUUACCUAAACAAUUUCUCUGACUGACUGUGAAGUGUGUAUUUGCCACAUAAAAGUCCGAGUUUGUAAAAGGAAAUUAAAGGUAUUUGGUACAUGCUGCAAACACUACAAGAAUGUACAAAAUUCUGCUGUAGGACAAAACACUCCUGUUUUCUUAACAAUGCAAUCUGAAGAUAAACAUUUGUGAGAAACAUUCAGACACAACAUUUCUACAGUGUUGUUUUUAGAGGUUUCAAAAGCAGUCUGGAGAAAAGGAAAGCAUUCUAAGAAGAAAAUACAAAAUAGGUUCAAUGCCUGCAAAACCGGAAUAUUUUAAAUUUUCUAGACAGUGAAGGUUAAAGCUAUCCUGCAUUCUCAUAGUUCUCUCUCUCUCCUUUCAAUCAAUCUCAUUGAUUUUUUUUAAAGGUCAGAGGCUAUACCUUCAUUGAUCAAAGAAACAGCCUGACACAGCGAAAGAGUCUGCCAAUUCCAGACAGAUCAAUCACACCUUUGUCUGCUUUUGAUACAUUAUGGUUAUUUAUUCUGCAUCACCACGACUUUCUGUCGCAUGGCUCCUAAUGUAAUAAUGCUGCUCGGGGACAACAAUAAAAGAAAAGGGGGGAGGGGAAAUAUUCUAUUUAAAAUAUUUUAAGCCUCUCUCUGGUAUUUCUGAGGGUGGCUUAUGAUGGAACUUGGCCAACUUGUUUGAUUUCAUUUUUGCCUUGGAACUCCUGUUCUGGUAUUUAGCUCAUCUUGGUCAGCUCUUUGUAGGAUUUUAAAAAGGCAAUCUUUUGAAAACAAUUUGUGCAAACUGUUUUUAAAAAAGUAAUUGGAUCUUGAUAGAAUAACAGUUGUGAUCUAAUCACAACCAUAAUUUUCCACAUUUAUGGACCAUUUUAGAAAUGUUUUAAUAAAUAGGAUGUAACUGAUACUUGGCUACAGCUACAGCUUUAUGAAUGUAAAAAGAAACUAAUGGUCAGACUAAAAUAAUUACUAGGAAAUAUUGCUGAAUAAACAGUUAUAAGUGCUGAAAAGCUCCUGGCUUUGCAAACUAUUAUGCUGAAAGCCAGCUAAAUCUUUAAAAAAUUCACUAUAAGCUCACUGUCUGCUAUCACUGAAACUUCUAUGCUAUUAUUUUGCUCUCCAUAGCUCUUGCAAGAAGCCUCCUGUUGGUCUAAUAUCAAAACUUUUGUUCACACUUGGUAGCAUAUCACUUCACUAGCAUUACUAGCAACAGUUUUACUGCUUAAGAAAAAUCACUUGUGGGACUUGGGGUAUUGGUUAUAAGUAAAAGCAUUAAAAUAAACUUUAAAAACUGAAAUUGUAUCCUAAGAGAAGCCAGUGGUAACAUGUCCAGUGACUGCAAUGGAACAGGGACUUCACUGGAAGAUGUUAAUCUCAACUCCUUCAGCCCAAUCUAUCUGCAGUAGAAAAGGCAGUUUAUGAGAUUUCAAAGGACCCUGAUUGUAUAAAGAUUUAAAAAACCUGACACAUUUCUUAUCAAAAUAGGUAACAAAGCUGUGAUGGGCCCUAUGCAGCACUCAGUCCUAUCAAACAAAGUGGAAGAGUUCCAUAAAAUUAAGCAUGUAAAUCUUUGCAGAAUCAGGAUAUCAGAUAAUAAGACAUAAUCACCAGAGUUAGAACAUUAAAAUAAGAUAAGCAAUAAUCCAAACACUUGGCAUUAGUUUCUGAUUUCAUUGUGCCUGCUCUGUAAAUUAUUGUGCUUCCAAUUUACAAUUACAUCAGCACUAUUAUGUAGAGCAAAAGGUAAGUGGUAUACAAAGCUGAAAUAUUAAACCCAUUAAAAAGUUAUGAGUUUGACAGAGCCCCUACAUGUAUUUGCAUUCAUGCCAAGAAGUGCAUUUGAAAACCUUUAAGGAAAGGAAACUGCCUUCCAGUGAUAAACUGCAGUGCCUACAAGACAUUGCUAAAAUGCUACUGCCACUUUCAAAGGCCAAGAGACCUUAAGAAUGUUUGCUGGCUGACAGCAUUAUACAAAAACAUACAGUUUCUUCUGUAAAGAAAUAAAGCUGAAUGCACAACAUUUCAAACAAGUUUUGAAUAAGUCUAUUUGUCCAGCUUACUUUGCAAAGGCUCUGAAGAAAACAGCACCAUAAACACUUUCAGUCCCCACACAAGGGCUAAACAAAGAGUCCUCUUUCUAGCCAUUUAAUCCAGUAAUUUAUUUUUUCAACCAUCACAUAAAUCGAAACACAGCUGUAACCAAUGACUUGCAGAUCCAGUUCCCUGCCAGCUGGAUCCUGUUCUGCUGAAGCAGCAAGAUUUUUACAUUGUUCACUUCUGUACAUCUGGAGAAAUCAUUUAGGUUCAAAGGUGACUAGAAAAGCUCUUUAAAUAAACUCAACCAACAGUGAAGAGAGGCCUAUGUAUCUACGAAAGCCCCACAGAGUUCCAUUUUAAAAGUUUUUCCUUUAAAUCAGUGCACAGAGCAGUUUGCUUCUUUAACUAUUUUUGAUUAUGAUAUUUUAAUUGAAUUCUAACUCAAAUAUACAUUUUGAUAACAAAGAAAUAUUUAGUAUUUCCCAUGAAUUUUCAAACAAUGUCAAAAGUGAUCAGAGUCAACAGUGUGUGUAUUUAUCACAUCAAAAGAAUGACCAAACAAAUAUCAGUGUAGUGAAGAAAAAAUAUACCUCAAUUAAUGCAUUUUAGCUGCUGCCUGAAAUGCACCUCGACUUUAAAUUAAAAAGAAAACAAACAAUAAGAAAGCAUAUACUGUACUUGGAUAUGCUGAGCCUGAAAUCUCUUAGAAGUCAGUCCUUAAAAUAGCCUUACUUCAAAAACUCUGCCUCAUCCCAUACUGCAGGAGUCUGCAGGUUAAAUACCAGAAAUGUCCCUGACAUUUUACACUGCACACAGAAAUUGAUUACAAUGCAGCAUUUCUUCCACCAAAGCAAUUGCAAAGCAAACCAGCUGAAUCUUUCAGAGGAAAAUAACAAUGAAUAUCAAAGGCUCAUAAAAUCUGUAUCUUUGGUUACUUUUCAGGCAAAACAAGCACUCAAACGCAUUGACAAUAGAAGGGGUUUGCGUCUAGCCCAGGCCCCACUAUCAAAAAUAUUUACAAUACUGAAAGUUCUGAUGAUAAGUCUUAUUUACAAAUUCCUAAGCACAUGCUCUCAAUUACAAAUUCAACUAAAAUUUUUCUCUUUUUGUUUCUGUUGAAAGCAGGUGAGCUAGACACAUCCAGAACAUGCCCCGGCUGCUCAGGUAAAGACAUAGUUCUUGUCCUGCACAUUAUUAAAAGGCAUUUCAAAAUUCAGCUACACUUCACUACUGUAAUUGCUUCUUUUCCUCUUUUAGUACUUACUGUAAUAGCUGCUUUGAAACAAUGCUGAUAAAAGUAUCCUUUCUGCUUGCCUCUCUGGCCACAUCUCUGCACUUCUUUGCCUCAUUGCCAGUUAUCUCUCCUCACAGAUUAACUGAGGAGCUACCUCACCUUCAGCUCUUGCUUCUCCUUGUCAACUCUUGCCUGUACUCAUAAUUAUAGGAAUGCUAUCUGUGUGCUCUGUUGUGAAAAUAGGAGCAUUAAAAAAAAAUAAAGAAGGAAAAUAAAAGCUAGAUAAACCAGAUAAAUCACCCGCAGAAAUUAACAUGCACAACUCAUAACCAAGUAAUUACCACAUCACUCCAGGGCAAACUUCAGAGUAUUUAGACAUGCAUUUCUGUCCACUAACAUGUAUAGAUUCACAUAAACAUGCUAAAAUUAAAAGUAUCUGGUUUUCAGUUAAUUACCAUGUAUCUGGAAAGCUUUCUCACUUCAGUUUCUAAUGUGAAUUUACUUGUAACUGUGGCUGAGAUUUUGCUCGAUAACCAAGGUAAGUGUCACAAAAGGAAGAGAAUUUUGUCAGAACAGAAGCCAUCAGUGCCCAGUGAGUGAGGCUCUGCAGGGCUUGCCAUGAUCAACUUUGCCAAAAUCAUCAUACCCAUUCAACAGCAUAAACUUCAUUUGCCACCCAUUUCUUUUGUUUCACCACCAGCAACCCUCUGUAGUUCAGAUUCUGUCUUGCCAAAACUGUUUUACUCAAUAGGCAAAGGGAAAUUAAAUUUCUAUCAGGAUUUAUUAUUCAGUUCAGACAUCAUCUCUGAUCCAUGAUGUGACAUUGCCUGUUUUCUGCCUGCCUGCCUUGGGUUUCAGGUAAGUUGGGUUGGGGUAACUUGAAGUCACAAUCUGAAAUACACCCUUGGAAGGCCUGUGACAGACUAGGAAAAGUAAAGUAGCCUGGAGGGAGGUGUUCCUAUUUUUGUUAGCUGCCUUUGGCUACUUAAAAGACCUCUCAACUCUCUCCCAUUGCAGUUGGCAGUACAGAUGGUAUUCUGAUUUACCUAGAAUAUAACUCCCAUGGCAGAUCCUGAGGAGGUUUCAAUAUAUAUCUGGUUUAAAACCUAAGCUCUGCUGAAAGAGUCUCCCAAGUGGAAAUCCAACUCACCAAACUAGGAAGACCAAAUCAGAGAUUCUGAGAUCCCAAAGGCCAAUGUCAGAAUGUGCUAAGCCAGAUAUUCCAACAAUCUGCAUUUUUGUUUGGCAAAUGUUAUGGGCACUUCUACCUAAGAGUUUGAAUAGUUAUGCUUCUCUUGUAUAAGGCAUUUACUUAUGCCAAUUUAAAUUGUGGAGAAUUCUUUAUGUAACCUGUACCACUGGGUACUUGCAGCAUGGAUGAGCAGCUCACAAAGCCUGGAGUGCCAGACUUCACAUCCAUCUCCUGUCUUAAAGACAGAGCUUGUCAAUAGGGACUGAAUGGGGGGACAGAACCUGCUGCCAUUUAAAGAUGAGUGAUGUUGACAAUCAUUUUUUUGGCAGACUCCUGCUACCAUGCAAGGUAGCAAUUCCCAUUUGCCAAAUCCCAGUGAGUGCAGACCAAGACCUGCAGCAUAAAUCAGGACAUCUGCCUGAAGUGAUGGUCCUUUCUGCUUUCCCUCCUGAGCUGGGUCAUUUGUUCCUCCACCUUGUUUGUGCUGACACUUGCCUCUCACAGCUGCAUCCUAAAGCAGAUUAGGGAACUGUCCCAAACAGCAAAUCAGAAGAAAUACAAGAUUAGUUUGCAGCAGGAUCAAUCCUUCAUCUGGCUCAUUUAGCAGUCAUGUAAACAAAGUGCCAGCACAAAAAGCCAAGGGGAAAUGAAUGCCACUAGCAAGAGGAUGGAGUUCUUCUUUCAGUGGCAACCAGAACCCAGGCAGAAUAUACAUGGCCUUGCACCUAGUUGGAACCAGGAGCUGUAUGAACCUGGGCUUCUCCAAGUCAGCUCCUUAGGACACUAAAGGUCCCCAUAUUCUGACUAUGAAGUAGUGUUGCUAUCCUCCCUGGCAUCUCUGCUGAGUUCUGCAGCACAAAAGUAAAAAUACUUUCUGCUGCAAAAGUAUGUGACUGUUUUACAGCCAGAGAGAAAUUAGAAGCUACAGCCAGGGGAUAAAAGACUAGACACUCCAGGAAGUAUCAUGUAGAAGGGCUGUUCAGGGUGGUCAGAAUAGUAAAUGAGAUAUUAGCAACAGUCAAGCAAUACAUCAAGGCUGUAAAUAACUGUGAAAUCAAGUAUUAACAGUAAUCAUACAACACACAGAGGCGGUGCUCAGAGAUUCCAGUACACUUGAAAUGCAAAUUACAGUAGAGCUAAGGGUAGUUGUGACAACAGACUUAAGGCAAAAAAAUUAGAUCUCUAAUUUUCAGACACUAUGAAGAAAUGUAUUUGAACUUUGCCAAAACAGGCUGAAAUGUACCAUAUACAUAUAAUUACUUGUACAGUCUUCUCUUGCAUGUAUCUCAUUCCACUUACCCUAUUUAUAAUAGUGUUCUCAGUCAAUUAUUUACAAAGAUAAAAUGGACAGGCUUAGGGUUUUCAUAAAGUCCAUUAUAGCCAUAAAGCAUACAGAGAGAAUCAAUAAAUGGUAUAUUAUCUCCACAUAGCAUUCAGCAUUUUCCUGUCUUUUAUUUUAGUGGGGGUUGGAGAGGGGAAGGGGUAAAUAACAUGCCUAUUACUGAUGUAGUCCGUUCACUUUACACUGGAUUGUGAUGCACACACCACAAGGCAAACAUAUGCCUUUUCCUUCACAAAUAAAGUGCCAUCAGUCACCACACCCGUGUUUGUAAAUCUUUUCCGAGAUGCUGUGUUCUCACACGUGCAAUUUGAGAGCAACAACAUAAGAUGAAACAUAUCAUUGUGAAACAUAUCACAUCCAGGACUUAUGAAAAGGAGGGAGGGGGAAAAAAAAAAGGUGGAAUGGCACUACCCACAGUUAGGUUUACAUUGUGCCCUGAAUUCCUAAGCAGAACAUCUCAGCACAAGGACUGAGCAUUUCAGCCCCCAAAGGGCCAUGCCUCUCCAGGGAUCAGAGCAUUUGCAAGUGCAUGGGGAUUCCAUGUGACGCAAGCGUGUGGCAGACUCUGCCUGGGAGCCCACCAGCUGGCUGGAAGAGACCAGCAACAUGUGCUACCAGGCAGCUUAAAGAAUUCUUGCACAGACAGAAAAUAAACUUCCCACGUCCGUGCUCAUUUACCUUUAAAACAGCCCCCAAAACAUAACUACUUUUGUAAUAAAGUAAAUUUGACCCAUAAUAUUGGCUCGAAGCACUUUGUUUGCAUAGCCUCAAAAGAAUAUGUUCUUGAGCAUAAUCCUAGGGAGAUGUAGGCAUCAGAGAAUACAGCUAUCUUUUCUAUCUUUUCUUAAUUUUUGAUUAUUAGGUUGCAAUGGCAGCUUGAAAGGCACAGUUUCCCUUGUGAAAUCCAUCUGUACAAAGUCUUGCCUUCCCAGGAUCCAAAAGUGCAAUUUGUGACAGCAACACAAAGACAUUGAGCAAAUCCUCCUUAACACACCAGUUUUCUCCACAAAAGCUGUGCUGCGCUUUGAAAACACUUGCUUCCAUGCAAGCAGAAGAUAUGACUGCAGGAUAACCAGCAAUAGGAGGAAUAUAACUCCCAAUCCCUCAUGUAACAUAAAAACGGCCAUAAUGGGUUAAAUCCAAGAGCCUUCUCGCUCAGCAUCCUGUCUCCAACACUGCAUAUAAAUAGAUGCCAAAGGUCUUCCUUUGAAUCAGACAAGCACAGAUGAUCCUUCUAACAAAAGACUGUGAGGUGACUAGAAGGAAAAGGAACAGGUUUGUAUAUUAUUAAGAGAGACUCCAAGUGAGAAAAAUGAAAUAUCACAGAAUUUUGCAGUCACAUUUUUUUCAGGAACUGAAGGGUGACAGGGAGGGGGUUAAUGUGCUGUUCUCCAAAACCCACUAAAACUUCCCUGUUCCCAGCUCCUCUCUGUUUUCCGUGGAUACCAUUACAGGGAUUUCAAAGCCUCUUUGCAAUUCUUUCAUAAAGGUCAAAUUCCACACUCUGUUCAACAUGAGCAGUGGUAACUGCACUGCCUUUGAACAUCAGCUCUCUGGUGCAGGGACUCUCUUGUUACCAAAACGGGAACUGCUUCAUACAGUCAGAGCCUGGAGUCUGCUGAGUGCAGAUACCCAGAUGACAAAGAAGCAAAGCCAACAAAACCCAACAACAACAGCUAACCAAGAGAAAUUAUUUUUAAUAAUUUGGGGGUUUUUCUCUCUAUCCAGGGAUCUCUUGGAGUCUAUCUUGGGAGAUUUGCAAAGAUAGAAAAGUUAUAAACAAACCCUGAAUGACAGGAUCACAUAUUUCAACUACAUCUGGAAAGUUCAGAAAGCCACUUUGAAGAUACUGUCUCUAGGGCUCCUGUUCUUUCUCGGAAGAAGACCAGGAUGCCUGUCUUCUCUCUCUCUCGCUCUUCUCGGAAUUCCAGGCACAAAGCACUGCGCAAAAGCUGCACCAAUCCUUGCCGCAACUGCCUGCCCAGGACAAGAGGUGGGGAGAGACCAGAAAAUUCACCUCGCCCCUGAGCCGGUUUUAUAAAUGGGGCUUGCACAAAUGUGCCGGAGGAAAGGGGUGAAAAGGCAGGGUGCCAGUUUGCUACACUAGGCUGCAAUGAUCUCAUGUUCAAUGCUGUCGCCCCGUUUGCCCAGUUCAAACGCCUGUUCAUUAAACAGAAGGAGGGGAAAAAAAAAAACCAACAAAAAGAAAAGAAAACCCAGAAAAAUAAAAAAAAUAACAACUUUUAUCCUUCAGACACUCAGGAGGGCUGCUCUAAACUACACGUCACCAAUAAAAAAAGAAAACGUGCAGUUCUAAAAUGCAGUUAUGAAGUAUAAUUAUUCUGCUUAUAUUUUCUUUCUUUCUUUUUUCUAUCUGGAGAUAAGAAGCAGAAUUUAUCAGGCGUGAAAGGGACAGCCUCCUGGUGGUGUGCCAAAAAAGCCAGAAUAAAGGCAAAGUUGUGCUUCAAAGCUCAAUUGCUUGCUGAGUCUGGCUAAAGUCAAGUAUUAAGAUCCACCAUUUUCUGAGCCAUGUAAGAAAAGAGGAAAAAAGUCAGAACGGGCACCGCUUUCCAAGUCUCCGUUGGCACCAUCACAAAAUCUCAGCCGUAAGGUCACAUGAUGCUCUGCCAAAUGUGGAGUGCAUUCCCAUAAACCAUUCUGCUGAUACUGCGAAGGCAGCUAUUGUCUAGUUUAUACCCAAAGUUCAGCCCACUCUUCAUUGAAUUAGCUGAAAAACGCAUCACCUUUGGGGGUUGGGAGCCAUGGAAACGUCUACCUGGCAGGCUGCCCACUUUUUCUGCCCAACAACCAGAGAUGGAAUUGUGCUGCCUAAUGUAAUGGUGACGAGGAAUGUGAAGAGUCGUCCAAAGUGAAUCUGAUUCUUGCAAAGCCUGCUUCAUUUGCACAGCAAACUCUGGCUUCUUGUCAUUAAAAAGGGGAGGGGGAAGGGUAGAAGAAAAAAAAAAGGUGCCUUUCUCCUAAAUGUAGCAAUUAAAGGUCUAGUAAACAUG